rnacentral:rRNA from 1 species
UACGGGGGGGGCAAGCGUUGUUCGGAAUCACUGGGCGUAAAGCGCACGUAGGCGGACUCUUAAGUCGGGGGUGAAAUCCUGGAGCUCAACUCCAGAACUGCCUUCGAUACUGGGAGUCUUGAGUUCGGGAGAGGUGAGUGGAACUGCGAGUGUAGAGGUGAAAUUCGUAGAUAUUCGCAAGAACACCAGUGGCGAAGGCGGCUCACUGGCCCGAUACUGACGCUGAGGUGCGAAAGCGUGGGGAGCAAACAGG